CCAAAGGCCCUUUUCAGGGCCACCUAUCCCCGCAUAGAAAGAGCUG
rfam:Alligator mississippiensis ScZkoYb_172, whole genome shotgun sequence.